ACAUUUUCAGCAUGCAUUAUUUAUUACUUUUCUUUCACUGAUUUAUUGUCCUAAAGCAUGUAAUCCAAUAUGGAGAGGAGCACACACAUGCCUACACAGAUGUCCUGGUAACAUCCUUGUGUUCCACAAAAAACAAAACACAUAACAACCCCAAACGUGCAGGCGGCCUCGAUUUGGAGGGACCACUAUAAACAUCUUAAUCUGGUUUAUCUUUUCCUCUCUCUCUUCCCCUUGUUCUUCUCCCUCUUUGCAAGAUGCAUAAAUAGAAUAAAAUCGUUAUCCUCCAAAGUGACAAUCUUAGUCAUUGCUUAGUGAGCAUCAUCUAUAUGUCAGGGCCUUAAUAUAUGAUAUUACUGAUCCUGCAGAAGAAAAGAGCAUUUCCUCCAUUUUGCAUGCAUAGAAUAGUGGAGGCUCAGAGACUGUAAGUGACUUUCCUAAAGUCACACAGCUAGGAAUUCCCAAGCUGAGAUUAGAAUUUGGGUGUUUGGCUGCUGAGAGCAUGUUUUAAUUGGUAAAUUGCACUGCCUCAGUGCAAGGUUGCAAAGUUGAUGAAGGCAGGGCCUCUGUUCAAAUCAAGUUACUGAGUCCAGAACCUGAGAUCUUCUCCACUAACUUCGCUGCUCUUCAACAUAUAAAUUCCUCUGAAAUCGGUCAACUCUGUGACUUGAAAAAGGAAACAAGCAACGUCACCUUUGGCUCUGGCUCUGCCUUGCCCCAUAACUCUUUCUUUUCCUUCCAGCUUCAUUGAGACAGAUUCACAUACGAUACACACACCCGCUUCUUGAGGCUUACCUGGAGAAACUCCCAGCAGCCAGUGUUACGAAGUGAAUAACCACAGUAACAAGUAAACAUCUCGAGACACGGUCAACCAAACAGAGCUACACACUUUCUUUUCUUUUUUGCUACUGCUCUCUUCCCCUGAGGGGAGUUAACAAGAAGCAGGACUACAUUUCUCUACGUUUCUUUGUCGGCUUCCCUUCCAAGGAGGAAAUGAGUACAAAGCGAGCACUGAGCUUUUCUGAAACUGUUGACGAGGUCUUGGUAACACAACAUAUACCGGAGAACCUGAUUUCUGGACCCAAACACCCUCUCAGAUGGAACAUUAAGUUCUGAAGGUCAUGCUGCAAGAUACAGAGAACAGCAAAACUGUGGAGUCGUCAGAGGACAUGACUUCAUGGACGUCUCUGUACCCAGGGGAGGGGAAAAAGAUCUCGGAGCGGUGAUAAAACCCAUGUCACCAGUAUUGGAUCAAGGAAAUCAGCUCUGGGCUUUCCUGACCUGCACCUUUAAGAAUUACAAGAACAGGUAAAUCCACGAGAUAGACCCCUCCCCCAGAGCCAGCCCUUCUUUCUAAGCCACGGUAAAUACCAAAGAAGAGGACAGGAAACCUUGCAAUCCUUUAUUUUCAUCAGACGCACUAACAGGAAAGAAGGGGGCGGGGGACGGAACAGGACUGCUUUGACUUUUCGGUUAACUUGAAACCUCGAUGCAUUGCCAAUUAUGGCAGCUGUAGUUGCUUUAUCUUUUGGGGACAUGAGCAGUUCACGAAUUGUGAAUUUUAAUUUUCCAGUCCAAGUUCAGACGGCUGGUUAAGCAAUGUCUAGAAGCUUCUGAAGGGUAGUCACUAAUUAAUGAACAUUAAGCCCUAGUUUUGGAGACAUCUGAAACAAAGCAGGACAAAGCUCUCUGCUCUGUGUACUUCGAGGACGGAUCGGAAAGCUCCAGAGGAGGGAAGAAAAUUGACGGUAAACAAAGAGGCCGGUCCUCUCUUGAGUUCCCAUGAUUCACGAAUUCAUCAAGUGGAGGGAUUUUUCUCUUUAAGUAUGACUUUUAUUCUGAGAAAAAGCUAUCAUUUGAGGAGUCAACUAUGUAUGUGCUAUUUAGCCAUAUAAAUGUAAGUGUUAGCAUCUUACUAAUCCAAUGGAAAACUGUUUUGUUCUAACAGUUUCAAAACUUCCCCAUCCCUCAAACCAACAGUACCCAUUACUUUAAACACCUCAGUGUCGAGCAAUUGUUCAAAAAUGUGUCAGGCUACCAGUAAUUUAAGUCCUGUCAAAAAUAAAUCUCAGACACUCACUUCUUCCAGUCAGUGACUUGAAAAACACGCCCACAUGUCAAUUACCGGAAGCUGUAGCUGUGUUUCUUUGUUCUGAAUUUGUGUAAACAGAAAAAGGUUCUAUCUCAGUAACAACUGUUUUCUAAAACCUAUAUAAAUGUUUACGUGAACUUCACUGCAACAGCAUCUAACAGAAGCAAUAAAAGCCACCACAUUGGUAAACGCACGCGCAGGCACGCGCGCGCGCACACACACACACACACACCCCUCUGUAUGUGCCUCUGGGUAAUAAAUGUACAACUGUGAAAGAACAAUGUAUUGACUUGUGAAUUAUUCUUUUCCCAGAGGCCUGACCUUAAAGUAUUUACAUUUUAUAUUGUAAAUCAAAAUGAUCUACAUUUUUAGAAGCUAACCAUCACUGGCUCCUUUCCGUAUUAUCCAAGAGAUUGCUUCACAGAUAAUUUCAAAAUCACGGGUAAAUAAAUGAGUAGAAAAAACUGUGACUAUAAAACAGAAAUAAUUCACAAAAUUGGCAGCUAAUUAAGAUAGGCUAUUAGACAGAGUUUCUCUGUGUAAAAUUGUUCUCUACAACUCAGGCUGAUAAAUCUUGUGAAUAGAAUCCUGCCUUUACUGCAAUGUAUAUAUGGUUGUAAAUAGCUAUAAAUCAAGCUAUAGAUUAGGAGUGUGAUUUUCUAAUGUUUUGCCUUUCUAAUAUAAGUUUUUUUUAAUUGAAGAAGAUUGUAAUCAUUUAAUCAUAAAAUCACCAAUGCCCACUACAUUCUAUAGUCUCCAUGAAGGUUUUUCUUGCUAAAUCAAAUGAUUGAAUUUCAACGAGAGAAGAAAAGAAAAGUAAAUUUGGCUGACCUGAUCUUAAUUGUUCCCUCCCUCCUCCCUGGUUCUCAGCUGUACGCACUAAAAAAUAAAUACAACUCAGAAAAAUACACAGAUGGACAAUGCAAAGAUGUUGGAAUGAGACCCUAAGUGGUCUUCUUUCCAGGAGUAAAUUAGAAUAAGUUGAUUUUCAUUAAGCAGGAACAGAUCAAUAUUUCAUUAUUAACAUGGUGACAAUUUCAUGUUAAUAAGAAGUCAUCUUUUUUCAAGCGUCUAACUGCCAAGCCGCUGGAUUAAUGGCUUCCCUUAUCCAGUGGAGUCUCUUUACAUUUCCUCUCUUGUUCUGUGGACACUUGAGCAGCUGUGUGUGUGUGUGUGUGUGUGUGUGUGUGUGUGUGUGUGUGUGUGAAAGCAUUGACCUUUUGCUAGGCAGGAUUAGGAAACACCUACUAAUGUUUCCUUCAGGAAGCAAGGCAUUUUGCUAACCUGUUUCCCCUUAGGUUUCUCUUCCCCAGAAUGUUCCCCAUCAACUUGUUUGUCAUUGGGAUUUAGAUAAUGAUCCUGUUUGGCAGACAGUAGUUUUACGGAUAGAAGUAAAAUCUUUUUUUUUCUUUCGGGAAGGACAAUACUAAGAUAAAUCAUUAAUUAAAGGGGCUGCAUAUGGGACAGAUGGAAUUCUACCCAUGUGGCUGCCUCCCCCAACAGUUGAGGGGUAAAAAGCCCCAUAAAUCACUCAUGGUCUAGCAGCCUUCAAUAGGGACCGUCUUGCCCCUUCUGAGUGAUGAUAAACAACACGCACUCCCAGCGCAGCCCAUUAGGUAUUCCAGAGGAGGUGAACUAUGAGAUAACGCAUUUAUCCUUCUUGGGAAGGUAUCUCUCCAUGUUUCACGUGGCGCAGAGAAAGCAUCGCCAAUUGAAUGACGGCUAAUGAGGAUUAAUGCAUUAUUCCACGGAGGAUUACGGGCUCUUCUCUUUUGUGCAGUAGUUAAAUAAUAACAAAAUGAGAUAAAAUGGCUCCUGAUGCUUCCCUGAGCGGUAAAGCCGACACCAUGUACACUUGCCUUGACUUUUCUUUCCUUUUCUUCCUCAUUUGUUCUUCUAUUUUUUUCUUUUUUUGAGGUCUCUUAGGUGUUCCUCUUCUAAAUCCAGUCGGCAUGGUCUUUGCCUCUCAGCUCUUUAUGGGGACAAGAGCAACAGGAAAUCUUCAACAGACUCCUUCACAAAGUCAAAAAGUUGCUAGGUACUAAAAACAAAAGGUCACCCAAAAAAGGGACAAUUUUCCCAAGUAUUAAAAGUCACAUGAGUGUCUUAGAGGACUUAACCAUACCGUAAUCUAACUUUGUAUUGAGGAAAUCUUUUAUUUAUUCAUUCAAUAAUGAUUUAUUAAGGACCUACCCUGGGCCAGAGAACCUUUGCUUCUAUCUUAUGCAAAUGGAUUGAUACGAUUUAAAUAAUCCCACAAAGAAAUGGCCCACUGUGGUAAAUGCCACAGAAGGAGGACCUUGGGGGAUGCCAGAGGAACUAAGUCUGGAUUUCAAGGCAGGCUUUGCUACGAAAGUAACACUUGACCUGAGGAUGAAGCUGCUAAGUGUGGAAGGGAAUGAGGAGAGGCAGACAAUUCAGAAAGAAUGUAUUACUUGCCAAGAAAAAAGUCCUAAAGUGGAAAGAGGCAUGAUAAUUCAAGUAAUUGAUAGAAGGUCAGUGAGUUUGGGGUACAAAAAAAAUGAGGGGGACAAGGACAAAAGUUGGGGCUGGGAAGAUAGCCAGGGGUCCGGGUUUGUUGGUGAUGGUAAA